ACGCGUCCUGUGAGGAUUUAAAAAUCAAAAUGGGGAGGGGUGUAUUAGAUAAUGAGGACUUCCAAAAAGCUAACUCCUCCUCCGGGAUCAAAAUGCACCUGAAAGGUGGGAAGAGGUCGAGCCCCGGGUUCUCGCCGCAGAUGAUGAAAUUCACCUGAGACCACAUAGCCGGAGAAGGCCAAACUGAGUUUUGAAUCUAGGCAAUCUUGACCCCAGAGCCUUACAGCCUAAAGGUCUUCAUAAUAUUCCACUGAUGGAUGUACUGUAAUUUAUUUGAUUAAUCCCCUAUUGAUGGACAUUUGAGUUAUUUCCAGUCUUUUGAUAUUACAAACAAUGCUGCAAUGUGUAAGCCGAGACAUAUGUCAUUUCUCACGUGUGGGAAGAUAUCGAUUGAAUAAAUUUCUGCCUUUUCAUCUUUCACCAAAAUUUCAUUUUCACUUGAUGAACAAUUUUUGCACCGGGAAUGCUCACUAAAACACUUUAAUCUCUUGUUUGUUUGAUAUAAAAGACUCAUUCAUGUCAUAGACUGAAACUACUUCCAAAUUAUAUAUUCCACAUACUAACUUACACCAAAACUCUGUUGCCUGGCUAAGAACAAUCAUUUUCUUAGAGCUUCACUUGUAUUGCCAGAACUAGCAACUGGGAGACACACACACACAAAAUAAUAACACCACUGACUGCCUAUGAAACAAGUUGAGAACAACACCAGGAAGUUGAGACACACAUGCCAGGCAGUUUCUAGCCUUGUUCAUCAGCACAGCAACUGACUUACUGGCCUCAGAAACCUUUCAGUUCAAGUUGACAUCUCAGCAAAGUCUCUAGGUUUGUGGCCCUUCUGGGGAAGCUUGUAAGUGUCCAAAACUUUGAAAAGUUUUCCUGUCAGAGUUUGUAAAAUUGUAACCCCCUGGCUAUUUCACAGGAUCCCAUUAGUAAGGGUCAAGAAAGCUAAUGGCAUUGUUUUCUAGUUACCAGCCCAGAGCAGAAGCCAACAGACUCUGAGCAAGGCCCAAACAGUUUAUUUAAUGUGGAUUCUAUCCCCCCCUUAUCAAUGAAUGUUCAGUCAAUGCCCUAGGUAAUAGGAGCUAAGUGAUAGGAUCCAUAUGAUAAAAUUACAGUAAAAAUACUAGCUAACAUUUAUUGAGCAUUCACUAUGUGCCAACCACUAUGCUAAGAGCUUUACACGCAUUCUUGUUUUCAGGUUCAGUCCAUUGCAGAUUUAAGCAAGGGUGUACAAGAAGCUCAUUCCUUCCCCUUCUAGUCCCUCCCCCAAAGUAAACCCUGAUCCCAGACUCUCUCAUUUGUCCUAAGAGCUACUAAAAUGAAAAUAUCCCUGCAAGAGGGAACACUGUAAACGGAACCAGGUUUUAUACAUCAUUUUGCCUGAUUUUAUCGUAUUCUUUACAGGACAACAUUUUAAUGGGAGAGCUCUAUGGAUGCGUUGUUAGGUGGAGAGAGACUGCCACGGACAGGGAGGCACUGAUACACAGUAAAAGUUCAGUUUGCCUCGGAGUAGUCUCUGGAAUAUAAUCACCACCAUCGCCCCUUCCCAAUUUUAACCCCCACUCCCUUAUGAAUGCAUGGGAAAAGCAAAGACCAGGAUGGAGUUUUUUACUCUGCAUUGUUAUAAUAAUUAACUUUACUUAAUGGUUCAUUAAGUAUUGACAUGCUCAAGGAUCAGUAACUUCUAAUCAGUGCAUUAGACCAUCUUCAGAAGUUGCUUAUGGGUACUUAUGAAGGGUGUUUGGGACUAUGCCUUUAGUCCCAAUCAGCUCUAAGAACAGUUUCAUUUCAUAGCAAUUUCUUUUUCAAAAUAAUUUUCUUAAGUGUUGAUCAUGGGUCUUUAAGCACAGACUGAAGACUAUCUCUCACAGAGACAUAAUUUAUCAAGGCUUAAAACCACUCAGACUGAGGAAGACCUCUGACUAAUUGUUGUGAGGGGUGGGCAAGUGCAGUGGAAUACCUAAAAAAGUGGGUCACGCAGCUAAUCACGGGAUUAAGCCAACAGUUAAACAAAAGGCAAUCUCACUCUGUCUCUUUGAUCUGUAUCCAGUCGCUGGCAUUAACUUAGUUUUUGAAUCUUUUGAGUUCCCACAGGGAACUGGGCUGGGCUGUAUUAUUUAUGGCCUCUCCUGGCUCCAAGUGUAGCUUGCUGGGUGAAUGUCUGGGGCAGAGGGAGAAAAAAAUUCUGUGGGUGUUCCACUGCAUACAGCCCUAACUGAAAGCAUAAAACUGGGCUGCAAUUACCAUGCCCUCUCCAUUACUUCCAGAGAAUUACCCAGGAACAUUACUGGAAAUGAGCUGUCUUGUCCAGUCAGCUCCCAUUCUCUCAGGAAGAUUAGAGCCUGGUGAAUUUCACAACCCUUGCAGCUUCUUCAGAAAUGCAUUAUGAGUUUCCAAAUCUCUUGCUCAGCCUUGAUAAAAUUCCCAAGUGAUUGCAAAUGUGAAAAUAAAACCCAAAGCUACUUUGUACCUUGGUAUAUAUGAAUAAGGCAGGGAGUGAACAUUGCACAUAAGUAACCUAGACUUCAUAAUCAUAUGGACUUUUGGGCACUUAGUGGAAUCCGCAGUCCCUAUGUGGCAGAAAUAAAUAUUGUUAAUGAUACAGGCUAACUCUUGUCAGGUACCUCAGCAAUUCAUGGAAUGUUAGAGCUGGUAGGAACUUAAAGGUCAUCUACUUCAUACCUUCAUGUCAUGAAUUUGAGACCAGAGAGAUUAAGUCACUUAUUGAUAGGCAUUCAGUUCAUAUGGUAGAAAGAACACUUAGCUUAGAAUGAGACAACUUGAACUUGAGUCUUCACCCUGCCCCUUUCUGGUGGUGGUUUUCAGACAAGCCAGUGAGCCUCAAUUUUAUAUUGGGAAAUCGGAGUUAAUUUAUGCCCCAGACAGGCUGUGAAUAUUGCUCUGAUGGGUAGGAACAAGGAGGUGCCACUAGGAACUUGGAAAUAAUUUAGCUCUUUCAAACUAGUAAAAUUCACACAGUCACAUGAAAUUGUAAACUUAUGACAGAAGAGUUGUUUUUAAAAUAAGUCCAUUUUUCCCCUGAUUUUAUAGAGUACCAUGUGUCCAUUGUACUGAAAAAAAAAAAAAAAAGAAUAAAGAAGGGCUUUCCUGGUGGCGCAGUGGUUUAGAGUCCACCUGCCAAUGCAGGGGACACGGGUUCGUGCCCCGGUCCGGGAAGAUCCCACAUGCCACGGAGCGGCUGGGCCCAUGAGCCAUGGCCGCUGAGCCUGCGCGUCCGGAGGCUGUGCUCCGCAACGGGAGAAGCCACAACAGUGAGAGGCCCGUGUACUGCAAAAAAAAAAUAAAGAAGAAAAUGCAGAUUAUGAGUAAAUGCAUGGUGAAUGCAUUCCAGAUAUAUGCUGGAAGAACUCCUCAUAUUCAUGAGGAUGGGAUCAUGCCAUACAUGCUUUUGACCUUUAGCGAGAUAUUGGUAUAACCUUUCAAUGUAUUUGAGAGCACUCAGAAUUCCAAGCAAAAUGAACUGGGUAUAAUAUCUGGGAAGCCAAUCUUAUCUGAAAUGUGAUGGUAAUACGAUAAUCCAAGGAAAAACUGAGUGAAUAAAAUAAGCACGAUUGGCAAGAAGCAAAGCAAAAGGAAGCCCCCCAAUGCCAGAAUGUAGACCAGGCAAGGGGCUAGAUUAAGCUCUACAAGCUUUACUUAAUUGAAUCCUCUCAACUACUCUACAGAAUAGGUACCAUUGCUAUUUUCAUUUUUCACAUGAAGAAACUGAUGGUGGAGGAAAUUAAAUAAUUUACCCAACAUCAUGCUAUUAAUAAGUGUUAGGAACUGGAAUGUACCCAAGCAGUACACUUCCAGGGCCUGAUUUGUCUAAUUUAUAUUUUAUUUUUACUAAAGUUACACAUACACAUAUAUUUUUUUAAAUAUUUAUUUAUUUAUUUAUUUGGCUGUUCUGGGUCUUAGUUGCAGUACGUGGCAUCUUCGUUGCUGUGUGCGGGAUCUUUAGUUGUGGUGUGUGGGAUCUAGUUCCCUGACCAGGGAUCAAACCCUGGCCCCCUGCAUUGGGAGCACAGAGUCUUAACCACUGGACCGCCAGGGAAGUCCCACCACAUACACAUAAUUUAAAGAGUCAGAGUUCUUCAAGGUUUGUUUGAAAACAACAGUCUCUAGUCCCUACCUCCCUAUCCCAUUUCUCACAAUCUAGAGGUAAUUAUUUUCAUUCCCUACCUAAACAGCUGAUUCUUUUUUUAAAAAAUUUAUUUAUUUAAUUUUGGCUGCUUUGGUUCUUCGUUACUGCGCACGGGCUUUCUCUAGUUGUGGCGAGAGGGGGCUACUCUUCGUUGCGGUGCGUGGCUUCUCAUUGCUGUGGCUUCUCUUGUUGCGGAGCAUGGGCUCUAGGCGCGUGGGCUUCAGUAGUUGUGGCACGCGGGCUCAGUAGUUGUGGCUCACAGGCUGUAGAGUGCAGGCUCAGUAGUCGUGGCACACGAACUUAGUUGCUCUGUGGCAUGUGGGAUCUUCCGGAACCAGGGCUCGAACCCGUGUCCCCUGCAUUGGCAGGUGGAUUCUUAAUCACUGCACCACCAGGGAACACCUAAACAGCUGAUUCUUAAGGUAUUUACCUCCAUAUUGCUAAACAACUUGUUUUAAUUCUUUGUGGGUUUUACAUUUUAGACAUUCUCUAUUGUCAUUCCACUCUAGAAGAUGAGGAUUUAGCCCUCUGUCUCCCUCAUUCCCCACUUCCAUCAUGAGCUCUCUUCCCCUCUGCCUGUUCUCUCUAUGUAGUCUGCUGUGGACUAAAUGAUUGUGCCUCUCCAAAAUUCAUAUGUUAAAACUUAAUUCCCAAAGUGAUGAUAGUUGGAAGUGGGGCCUUUAGGAAGUGAUUAGGUCUUGAGGGUAGAGCCCUCAAGACUGGAAGUAGUGCCCUUAUAAAAGAGACCCCAGGGCUUCCCUGGUGGCGCAGUGGUUGGGAGUCCGCCUGCCGAUGCAGGGUACACGGGUUUGUGCCCCGGUCCGGGAAGAUCCCACAUGCUGCGGAGCGGCUGGGCCCGUGAGCCAUGGCCACUGAGCCUGCACGUCCGGAGCCUGUGCUCCACAACGGGAGAGGCCACAACAGUGAGAGGCCCGCGUACCGCAAAAAAAAAAGAGACCCCAAAGAGAUCCCUUGCCCCUUCUGCCAUGUGAGGUUAUAGCAAGAAGGCGUCAUCUAUGAACCAGAAAGUGGGCGAUCGCCAGACGCCAAACCUUCCAGUGCCUUCAUCUUGGACUUUCCAGCCUCCAGAACAGUAAGAAAUAAAUUUCUGUUAUUUACAAGCCACGCAGUCUGUGCUGUUUUGUUACAGCAGCCCGAACAGACUAAGACAGUCAUACUGUGACUUUCAUUAUAUCUAAUAUUCAGUUGUCAGAAUUCCUUGUCCCUCUUGUUCUGGAUUUUUUGUUUAUUCUUCAUUACAAAUUUAUUGUGUUCCUACUAUGUGCCAGGCAUUAUUAUAGGUGCUAGCUUAUAUCAAUGAAAGUUUAUCAUAAGAUUCUCAGGUGGGCAUCUAUUUUUACCCAUUGUUCUGGGCAGUUGGUGGGCCCUUCACUCUGGAAACUGAGAUUGUAGGAUGUUUUCAUUAAUUUUUUUGUUAUGAUUUACUAUCCUCUGUUCUUUUCUUUUAGUAAUCCUAUUAUUAGAUAUUGGACCUCCUAUACAGCUCCUCUAAUUUUCAUCUUUUCUCUCCUACUAUCCAUACGCUAGUCUUUUACGCUACUUCUUGGGAGAUUGCCUUAACUUUAUCUUUUAGCCCUUAUAUUGAAUUUCUCAUUUCUAUGUCAUGUUUUUAAUAUCUAAGUUCCUUUUGAGUUUACUGACUAUUCCUUUUAUAGCUAACCUGUUAUUGUUUCAUAUCUUCUCUUAUCUCUCUAAAGACAAGAUAGUUUGUUUUCUAAAUUUCCUCUUGGCAGACCUUGUUUCCUUCAAGUUGCUUCCUUCUGUUUGCAUUAAUAGGCAUUCCUCACAUAUCUGAUGAUCACUGGCUGUCUAGUUUUAUUUUAAGAAUGGGGCACUGAAAAGAGGAUGCGCUGCUUGCAGAAUGGGAUUCUCCAUUGAGUUUACUACAGGAUGAUGUAACAUAGGCCAACAUACUGGACCCAUGUCAGUAUCUUUUCUCUAAGGCUGAUUAGAUUACCCAGAGAAUUCUUCCAGCCUUUUGCCAAGAAAACAUAAGCCUGGCUAACAGUGUUCUGGGAACCAAGUGGAGGAAAAAGAUGGAGGAAGUCUCAACACACAAUUUAAAUAUUUACAUUUAAUCCCUGGUAUUCAAAAUAGUAGUCCUCUUCCUUUCCCUGAUCUCAAUCUAGAGUCCCUCUGUUAGUUCUUGGCAUGGGAAUAAGCCUUCAGUUUCAUACUGAAUGAGGCAGAGGCAGUCUCCUGCCUGCAAGGAAUAGGAGUAGGGAAUUAGGGAUCUCCUAGCUUCUUAAAAAGACUUUCCGCUAAAUCUCCUGUGUUGUAAUCCCCACCCUCAUUCUCCCUUCCUAAAGUAUCUGUUGCUCCAGUUUUUUUAGGGCUCUGUAUUGUAAAUUGGGUUGGUUAUCAUCAAGUUUAAGAUUCAGCUUUAUUGACUAUCCUAAUUCAGUUAGUACUUGUCUCUCUGCUUCCUAGUUUCUAAAAUUUUAUUGAUGUUGUUUCCUAUCCCACUCCCUUUAUCCUUGUGCAUUUUAUUAAAAUUAUUCUAUUGUUUUCUUAGCUGGGUGAAGGAAGGAAGGGAUUUGAGUGCUCAUGUUCAAUCUGACAUCUUUUACUGGACUGAUCCAGACCCUACGGCACUAUCAAUACAUUACAGAAAAGUUUGCAAGGUUUGUUCUAACUAUUCUAGAAAGACAGAUACUAAAUGUAGCUAACAGAAACACAGUCACUAAAGAACCAUGGUAACCAUAGUUGGACGAAAUGUCCAUCAGGACUCUCCAUCCUUUUUUUGUUUGGAUUCCAUGCUUACUGGAAAUCUUCUAAUUAUAUGAAAUUCAAUAUGUCUGAGGUAAAAUUCCUAAUCUAACACCCAGACUAGGUUCUCUUACAGUGUUCACCAUCUUAGUAAGUGGUACCUCAUUCUUUCAAUUACUCAUGUCAGAAACAUAGGAGUCAUUCUAACUCCUACUUCCUUCUCAGCCCCCACAUCUACCCAUCACCAUGUCCUGCCUGUAAAUAUUUAUAACAUGAGUCCAUUUCUUCCCAUCUCUACUCUGAAGACCCCUGUUCAAGUUACAAAUAUGUCUUACACUUCUACCGUUGUCUCCUAAAUGAUCUCCCUGCAACCAUUGCAGCCCCCUUACCUGUCCAUUUCCCACACUGUAGUCAUAGUCACCUUUGCAAAAUGCAGGUGAGAUCUUGUUCUAUACGAUCUGCUUAAAAUCUUCAGUGAUUUCCCAUGACUCUUUAGAUAAGGACAGCAAUCCUUAGCAAGGCCUGUAAGGUCCUGCAGGGACUGGCCUGUCUCCUCUGGCCUUAUCUAGUGGUGUUCCCCACCCUUGCUGUCAGCUCCCCAGCCACGCUGCCUUUCUUUCUGAUCCUCUUUUCUCCUGAUGCUCUCCCUGCUACCCACCCCUCACCACAGGCCACUUCAGGCAAAACAGCUCCCUCCUACAGCUGCCACUAACAGCCUAACUGCCCCAUUCACUUGGUCCCAGGUUCUCACCUACUGAGUCAUUAGGUCUUGGUUCUAGAGUUACUUCCUCAGGGAAACCUGGUGAGGUCAGACUUCUAUUUAGUAUAGGCACACAGAAACAUGCUUCAUUUCUUUAUAGCACUUAUUAAUUAGGCCCUCAUUUUUUAUGACUGUUUUAUUAAUAUCUGCCUCUCCCUCCAGAUUGUAAGCACUAUAAGAGCAAAGAGCAUGUCUAUUACUUUUCAUCACUCUUUUCUCAGGACAUGGCUAAUUGCUGAUUUUUCUUUUAAGGGUUGAUUUAAAAAGGAAAAACUAGUAUGUAUCAUGGUUGACAUCUUCCUCAAAGUAAGAAGAAUUUCAGUAUACUGAAUAUCAUGCAAUAUUUCCUUUAAAGAUUCAAGGUCACCAUUAUAAAAACACGUAGUGUAAUAUAGUAAAUUUCUUACUUUUUUGAAUAUGUAGGGAUAUCAACCAUGAUGUUAAAUAGCCUCAGACUGAUUGUCCAGAAAAAAAGCGAGGCAAUUUUGAAGUUUUCUAAAGGGAAUUUGAAUUUUUUAAUGCUUAGAAGACUAAGAGAUUGGUUCAAUUAUCACCUUCAAAUAUAGGAAUCAUUUAAUAACAAUUAUUAUUAUCGUUAUUGAAUACUUAGCAUAUACUUUAUUAUCAUUAUUGAAUACUUAGCAUAUAUUAGUAGUAAUCAAGAACUUUAAAAACAUUAUCUCAUUUAAUCCUCACAGCAACUCUCUGAGGUAGGUAACUGGUAGUAUUUUCAUUUUACCAUUGAAGAAACUCAGGCAAGUUAAGGAAGAGGUUAAGAACUAACUGUGGGUAAAGGUAGUCUGGCUCUAGAGCCUGUAGGUUUAAUCCCUUUAAUGAAAAAGGUGAUGAGCAAUUCCUUUCAGGAGGCCAGAAAUUUGACCAAGAAAAACAUCUUAAAUGAGGGAGAGCCUUCAUUUGGACAGAAGGAAGAAUCAUUUAAAAGUAUUAAACAUUGCAAUAAACUAUUUUUAAUAAAUAAGCUGCAUGUUUAUUCUGUUUAGCUUUG